rnacentral:rRNA from 1 species
UACGGAGGGUGCAAGCGUUAUCCGGAUUCACUGGGUUUAAAGGGUGCGUAGGCGGGUUGGUAAGUCCGUGGUGAAAUCCCCGGGCUCAACCCGGGAACUGCGUCCGAUACUGGCAGGCUUGAAUCCGGGAGAGGGAUGUGGAAUUCCAGGUGUAGCGGUGAAAUGCGUAGAUAUCGAGAGGAACACCUGCGGCGAAGGCGGGUUGCUGGGCUGACACUGACGCUGAUGCGCGAAAGCCAGGGGAGCGAACGGG